GGGACUCAGCUGGUUAGAGCGUUACGUUGACAUCGUAAAGGUCCGUGGUUCGAGUCCACGUGCGCCCA
rnacentral:tRNA from 1 species